rnacentral:lncRNA from 1 species
CAUCUUAACUAGAACCGGGACACAAUAGAAUGGUUUUAGAGGACAUUCUUCAAUAUGUGCCUCUGAAGAUGUGCCUAAAGACUCAUCUUAGAACUCAAAGUCAGGUAAAGGUAGUUUCCUGAUGAAUUUCUACAGAUUUAUUUUAUGAAACUGAUAGUUCCCCCUUUUUAUCCCAGUUACUGAAAAACUCAGAAAACAUGAUUUAGUUCACACAAUCUAAUUGCAGUGUCUGACACAUAGGAAGUGCUUAGUAAACAUUAGUCAUCUCCAUACCUGUCUAUCUCUCCUCUUAUCCCCCAAGAACUAAAUGUUAUACUCAAUAAAAGAAAUCUUUCUGAGUCUGUUUUUUUAAAAAAAUAUAAUUUGACUCUUCCCACGCCUUUUAUUACUUGACUUUCUCUUGCAGUUCUGUGAUAGUCGUUUGGGGACUUAUUUUCAUCCUAUUAAUCUUUUACACUGCCUCAAAUUGUUUGGAAGUAGUCAAGGCAUAAAUGAACAAAUAGAUGACAAAAAUACUGUAUUCAUGGAAUGCUUCCUAUUUCUAAAACUGCUUCUACACCUCUUUCCAUAUUUCAUCCUAAACAAUACCCCAUAUUAGUGAGGAAGAAAGGUAGCAUGAGGCUCCUCAUCAGAAAAGCCCAGCCCAGGCAGCACUGACUUGGGGAUCCUCUGGGCUCCCCUCCCACCGAAACCGAGAUGAAUUGUUCCCAUUUUUAUCUUCUGUUGAAUGUUAUACCAAGAUGAAAAGAAGUUUUGAGAAUUUCAGUGUCCUCUGGGACCCCAUGCCCUAGGAACUCUCAGUCUAGGACAUUCCCAGCAGGCCCUCUCUUCUCAGACUGCCCCAUCAGUGGCUAAUGCCUGCCCUUGGGGUCCAGGGAUCCCUAGAGAAACUGGAGGCCUGAUGUCACUUGAGGAAACAUGAUACUGGUUUCUACUCCUUCCAAUAUGACUUGGAAUUAGGACUCAUCUCCUGAGUAGGGUCAUCUUGUCCACUUGAGGGGGGCUUUCCACUUCUUCUCCUGUCCAUGAAGCCAAGUACCUCUUCAUGGGUUGGCACUGAAAGGUAGGCACAGAAACCACUUCAGCUGGCACACAGAAAAACAUCACUAUGACCCUUGCCUGUUAUUCAGCUGUAUCCUGGAUCCCCCCUUCAGUUCAGAAAGGGAGUCCACCCAAGGGCAACUUACUUG